AGAUCAUUGUCUCUUGUCUCCUGUUUCCCCGGUUCCUGGUUCCCUGUGAUUCUAGCUCCUGGCUCCUUGGUCCUGUGUCCUGCGCCUCCUGGUCUUCGUUCCUGUGUUCUCCUGGUCUUCGUCCUGUGUCCUCCUGAUCCUGCGUUACUGUGUCCUCCUGGUUCUUCAUUCCUGUGCCCUCCGAUCCUGUGUUCUGGUUCUGUGUUCUCUGCUUUAUUACCAGUGAUCCUGACCCUGCAGCC